rnacentral:rRNA from 1 species
CCUACGGGUGGCAGCAGUGGGGAAUAUUCGGCAAUGGAGGCAACUCUGACCCAGCAAUGCCGCGUGAGUGAUGAAGGUAAUUUUAUUGUAAAACUCUUUUCUUUGAAACGAAUAAAUGACGGUACCAAAGGAAUAAGCUCCGGCUAACUACGUGCCAGCAGCGGCGGUAAUACGUAGGGGGCAAGCGUCGUUGGGAAUAACUGGGCGUAAAGGGUGUGUAGGUGGUUUGAGAAAUUAGAUGUGUAAUACCCAGGGCUUAAAUCGGGGGCUGGAUCUUAAACUGUUAGACUUGAGUACUGGAGAGGAUAGUGGAAUUCCAAGUGUAGCGGUGGAAUGCGUAGAUAUAAGGAGGAACAUCAGUGGCGAAGGCGACUAUCUGGACAGCAACUGACACUGAGGCACGAAAGCGUGGGGAGCAAACAGGAUUAGAUACCCCAGUAGUC